UAUCAAAAAAGGCCGAAUCUCCGGUGGCACCGGAGUACGGGGGACCAAUUUUAUUUUGGGGUGAAUCCGCCAACCUUUUUGGGGGUGUCAAAAGGUGCGGUAGGGGUACCCUUCAACCCGAACCCGUCAACUAACCUCGAAGGCCAAAGGAGGGUAAAA
rnacentral:sRNA from 2 species